ACAGUACAAAACUGAGCAGGCGAUGAACCUUUAAGGUUCGUGGGGCCGGGCCGCGUGAGCGCGGUAGCAGAUUGCGAGCGUCACAUCUGCGGGACAGUU
rnacentral:ncRNA from 12 species